rnacentral:lncRNA from 1 species
UCCGAUAGAAGGUCGAUCGGUAGUGGAUGUCGGAUGGCGCUGGAGAGGUUCACCCGCUGGAGGGAUCUGGUUGUUGGAGCCCAUGUGUCGUAGGAGUUCGUUCGGAAUCUGUCCGCUACAGAAGUUCGAUCGGAGUCUGGUUCCCGUAGAAGUUUGGAUGGGGAUCAUUUGUUGAGGAAGCUCGGCCGAAGCCUGCCUGCAAUAGAAGUUCGGAAGGAAUUCGUUCACAAUAGAAGCUCAGGUGGAGGCUUACAGUAGAAAUCUUACGUGGACCGCUCGUAGUAGAAAUUCGAAGUAGACCGCUUGUAGUGGUAUUUCGGAGUAGAUCGCUUGUAGUAGAAGCUCGGAGUAGAUCGCUUGUGGUGGGGGCUCGGAGCCCGACCCUUGUAAGAAUUCGGAUGAGGUCUACCUGCAAUAGGAGCUCAGGGCUGAAGUUCGGCUCCCGUAGGAGCUCGGAUGAAGUCUACCUACAGUAGG